rnacentral:Y_RNA from 1 species
GGCUAGUCCGAGUGCAGUGGUGUUUACAACUAAUUGAUCACAACCAGUUACAGAUUUCUUUGUUCCUUCUCCACUCCCACUGCUUCACUUCACUAGCUUAAA